AGCGCGGCUCACUACCUGUACACGCGCAACCACCCGGUGGACUACUUCAUCCUGCUGCUGCAGGGUCGCGUGGAGGUGGAGAUCGGGAAGGAGGGGCUGAAGUUCGAGAACGGAGCGUUCACGUACUACGGCGUGUCCGCGCUGACGCUGCCCUCUUCAGGUGACUCGUCUCCAGUACCUGAACGCUCUCAUGGCGUCGCGGGUCGGUCACAGUCCAGAUCCUCCAGAGAUUAAGAUCCUGCCCAACAGUCAGACCAAGCUGCUCAACGACAGAAACUCACAGCCAGGUACGUUUCUCCACCGUCCUCCUGGAACCAACACCAGCGACAACGUGUCCACCAAACCGCUGUGAAUCAGGACGCAGGUCUUUUAUUCUACGAUUUCCUCUCUUUAUAAAGGAAAGCUUAGUGGACUUAAAAUAUGAAGCGUGCAUGUUAGAGAGCUGUCAAUCACAGUAAGCCCCGCCCUAAAGCAUCCCCUGCUUCAUGGUCUAUUAGAGACCUGUCAAUCACUUUAAGCC